UUUGGUCAUUUAGAGGAAGUAAAAGUCGUAACAAGGUCUCCGUAGGUGAACCUGCGGAGGGAUCAUCAUUACACAAUAAAAUACGAAGGCCGUUCGCGGCUGGACUAUUUAUUACCCUUGUCUUUUGCGCACUUGUUGUUUCCUGGGCGGGUUCGCUCGCCACCAGGACCACAAUAUAAACCUUUUUUAUGCAGUUGCAAUCAGCGUCAGUACAACAAAUGUAAAUCAUUUACAACUUUCAACAACGGAUCUCUUGGUUCUGGCAUCGAUGAAGAACGCAGCGAAAUGCGAUACGUAGUGUGAAUUGCAGAAUUCAGUGAAUCAUCGAAUCUUUGAACGCACAUUGCGCCCUUUGGUAUUCCAAAGGGCAUGCCUGUUCGAGCGUCAUUUGUACCCUCAAGCUUUGCUUGGUGUUGGGCGUUUUUGUCCCCCCCAAAAAAGGGGACUCGCCUUAAAAGGAUUGGCAGCCGGCCUACUGGUUUCGCAGCGCAGCACAUUUUUGCGCUUGCAAUCAGCAAAAGAGGACGGCAAUCCAUCAAGACUCCUUCUCACGUUUGACCUCGGAUCAGGUAGGGAUACCCGCUGAACUUAAGCGAAUCAAUAAG
rnacentral:rRNA from 1 species